AUUGAACGCUAGCGGGAUGCUUUACACAUGCAAGUCGAACGGCAGCGCGGACUUCGGUCUGGCGGCGAGUGGCGAACGGGUGAGUAAUGUAUCGGAACGUGCCCAGUAGCGGGGGAUAACUACGCGAAUGCGUAGCUAAUACCGCAUACGCCCUACGGGGGAAAGCAGGGGAUCGUAAGACCUUGCACUAUUGGAGCGGCCGAUAUCGGAUUAGCUAGUUGGUGAGGUAACGGCUUACCAAGGCGACGAUCCGUAGCUGGUUUGAGAGGACGACCAGCCACACUGGGACUGAGACACGGCCCAGACUCCUACGGGAGGCAGCAGUGGGGAAUUUUGGACAAUGGGGGCAACCCUGAUCCAGCCAUCCCGCGUGUGCGAUGAAGGCCUUCGGGUUGUAAAGCACUUUUGGCAGGAAAGAAACGUCGCGGGCUAAUACCCCGUGGAACUGACGGUACCUGCAGAAUAAGCACCGGCUAACUACGUG
rnacentral:rRNA from 1 species